rnacentral:rRNA from 1 species
AGUGAACGCUGGCGGUAGGCCUAACACAUGCAAGUCGAACGGCAGCACAGUAAGAGCUUGCUCUUACGGGUGGCGAGUGGCGGACGGGUGAGGAAUACAUCGGAAUCUACUUUUUCGUGGGGGAUAACGUAGGGAAACUUACGCUAAUACCGCAUACGACCUACGGGUGAAAGCAGGGGAUCUUCGGACCUUGCGCGAUUGAAUGAGCCGAUAUCGGAUUAGCUAGUUGGCGGGGUAAAGGCCCACCAAGGCGACGAUCCGUAGCUGGUCUGAGAGGAUGAUCAGCCACACUGGAACUGAGACACGGUCCAGACUCCUACGGGAGGCAGCAGUGGGGAAUAUUGGACAAUGGGCGCAAGCCUGAUCCAGCCAUACCGCGUGGGUGAAGAAGGCCUUCGGGUUGUAAAGCCCUUUUGUUGGGAAGGAAAAGCAGCAGGUUAAUACCCCGCUGUUCUGACGGUACCCAAAGAAUAAGCACCGGCUAACUUCGUG